rnacentral:rRNA from 2 species
UUGCCUUAGUAACGGCGAGUGAAGCGGCAACAGCUCAAAUUUGAAAUCUGGCUCUUUCAGAGUCCGAGUUGUAAUUUGCAGAGGGCGCUUUGGCUUUGGCAGCGGUCCAAGUUCCUUGGAACAGGACGUCACAGAGGGUGAGAAUCCCGUACGUGGUCGCUAGCUAUUGCCGUGUAAAGCCCCUUCGACGAGUCGAGUUGUUUGGGAAUGCAGCUCUAAAUGGGAGGUAAAUUUCUUCUAAAGCUAAAUAUUGGCCAGAGACCGAUAGCGCACAAGUAGAGUGAUCGAAAGAUGAAAAGCACUUUGGAAAGAGAGUCAAACAGCACGUGAAAUUGUUGAAAGGGAAGCGCUUGCAGCCAGACUUGCUUGCAGUUGCUCAUCCGGGCUUUUGCCCGGUGCACUCUUCUGCAGGCAGGCCAGCAUCAGUUUGGGCGGUGGGAUAAAGGUCUCUGACACGUUCCUUCCUUCGGGUUGGCCAUAUAGGGGAGACGUCAUACCACCAGCCUGGACUGAGGUCCGCGCAUCUGCUAGGAUGCUGGCG